rnacentral:rRNA from 1 species
AAACGGCAUUAUGUGCUUGCACAUUUUGGACGUCGACCGGCGCACGGGUGAGUAUCGCGUAUCCAACCUGCCCUUUACUUGGGGAUACCCCGUUGAAAGACGGCCUAAUACCCGAUGUAAUUCAUUGAUGGCAUCAGAUAUGAAUAAAAGAUUUAUCGGUAAAGGAUGGGGAUGCGUCUGAUUAGCUUGUUGGUGAGGUAAUGGCUCACCAAGGCAACGAUCAGUAGGGGUUCUGAGAGGAAGGUCCCCCACAUUGGAACUGAGACACGGUCCAAACUCCUACGGGAGGCAGCAGUGAGGAAUAUUGGUCAAUGGGCGCAAGCCUGAACCAGCCAAGUAGCGUGCAGGAAGACGGCCCUAUGGGUUGUAAACUGCUUUUAUACGAGAAUAAUUUGAUGCACGUGUGCGUUAUUGCAUGUAUCGUAUGAAUAAGGACCGGCUAAUUCCGUGCCAGCAGCCGCGGUAAUACGGAAGGUCCAGGCGUUAUCCGGAUUUAUUGGGUUUAAAGGGAGUGUAGGCGGUUUGUUAAGCGUGUUGUGAAAUUUAGAUGCUCAACAUUUAACUUGCAGCGCGAACUGUCAGACUUGAGUACACGCAACGUAUGCGGAAUUCAUGGUGUAGCGGUGAAAUGCUUAGAUAUCAUGAAGAACUCCGAUUGCGAAGGCAGCAUACGGGAGUGUAACUGACGCUUAAGCUCGAAGGUGCGGGUAUCGAACAGGAUUAGAUAGCCUGGUAGUCCGCACAGUAAACGAUGGAUGCCCGCUGUUAGCGCCUGGCGUUAGCGGCUAAG